rnacentral:tRNA from 1 species
GCGCCUAUAGCUCAGUGGAUAGAGCAGUAGCCUUCGAAGCUAUGUGUCGGAGGUUCGAGUCCUCCUAGGCGCGCCA